GACGAACGCUGGCGGCGUGCUUAACACAUGCAAGUCGAGCGGUAAGGCCCUUUCGGGGGUACACGAGCGGCGAACGGGUGAGUAACACGUGGGUGACCUGCCCUCAGCUCUGGGAUAAGCCCGGGAAACUGGGUCUAAUACCGGAUAUGACUCCAUGACGCAUGUUGUGGGGUGGAAAGCCUUGUGCGGCUGAGGAUGGGCCCGCGGCCUAUCAGCUUGUUGGUGGGAUGAUGGCCUACCAAGGCGACGACGGGUAGCCGGCCUGAGAGGGCGACCGGCCACACUGGGACUGAGAUACGGCCCAGACUCCUACGGGAGGCAGCAGUGGGGAAUCUUGCGCAAUGGGCGAAAGCCUGACGCAGCGACGCCGCGUGAGGGAUGACGGCCUGG
rnacentral:rRNA from 1 species